UCAAGAGGAUCGCCGUUCAAAGUGCCAUCAAUGAUGGUUAAUGAGUGGCAAGUAGCCAUCCCUUUAAACAGCAAAUAAGGUAGUUCCUUCUUUGGGUCUUCGUGGCUCAUCUCACUACCAGUCACCGCAGACACAGCCCCUGGAUUAUCGCUAUUCACGUACUUGUGACUGGUGAAAGAACACGGAGGAAAUUAGCAAUUCUGGCAACCGGCACGACACCCCAGAGAUCCAAGCCUUCUUCGGUUAAAGUUCCGGUUUUAUCGAAGCAAACGCAGUUGAUGGAUCCUGUUUAUCGACAUACAGUUGUCAAAGCAUUGCUCGGAAAUAAUGAGAGGUACCGAAAAGAAGUACGGCGUCACAAUGCAAGACGCAGCCCGCUGCUGGAAUUACAAUAACAUCUCCUGGAACUAGAUCUUCCGUUCCUACGGUAUGGUAAUCUCCAUUUCCUCGACAUACGGUAAUGAUAUCAUUACCGCGAACUGUGUUUCUGAGCUUCCGUUGGUUCUAUGAAAAAUAGAAUGACACUUUUAAGGUUUUGACGCGUCAAACCAACAUGUAAUUAUUUAUUACUCUUCUUGUUUGGGUAAUGGUGAUUAUAAUUCCAGCUAUGGACAUCACGGCAAUGGCUGCAGCGUAGAAAUAGUACCAAAUCGCAAUCCAGAUCAAUAUUGAGACAACUUGGAAGAUGUAGAAUGGAUUAAUGACUUCAAGCAUAAGAAGCUCGAGGAUCGGUCUAACUGGAAGUACCUUUUCUGUUGUUCGAUGAGGGAAAGACCGGCGAGACCUUGCUGUGCAUCGGGGCAAUGGAGCGAUGAAGUUGGUAUUCCGGGACCCAGACUUUUAAGCUUGAAGAAUUCUUUUGACCUUUCGUUCCAUACGUAACGCAACUUCUUACAGAAGUUACUUGCCGUGAAACGUGCCAUCGGGAUUCGGGAGUGGAAGGGACAACACUUCGGUCGCUUUGUUGAACUCUUCCAAGACAUAAUCUUCGUUGUGAUUUUUAUUGCUCGUGCUAAGUUCCUCCUGGUUUGCAAUAGUUCUGAAAGGACACGAAAUCAAAACAUAAACAUGAAAGUUUGGGAAUUUUAGAUUGGGGUCGAAUGUACUGAGCAUCUUACAGAGCCUGGAGCGCUGUUUGGCGAAUUAUGGUUCGAAUAUGAAUUUUUCUAUACUUUUCCUGGCAAAUCUCCUAUUAUUUUUAUGUAGAAACCGUUACGCUUUAUUCACAAAUCUCUGAAGUCUAGCAGUCUUAGAAAGAUUUCAACUUACCACAAGCAACACCUUUUCGGCAGCUUCCAAGGAACAUUUUGUGUGAGUGCAGUUUAGAAACCAUUCCGGAAACCAGUGAUAGACCAUCCGCAGUAUUCCUACAGUUAUGAUGAUGAAAAACCACGUAACUGUUGUCCAGAAAAUCGAUCGACGGUAUCCGUGGAUUUCCUGCGUUGUGCACAAGAGAGAAAUUUUGCAAUCCAUUGCACAGCACCGUAGCCAAUAUUUGCUCAUUUUUUGUUGACGGACGAUGUUAUACUGCUUACCAUUUGAUCUUCCUCGCCUAGGUUGACAUACUUAACACCAACGUUCUGCGAUGCUGAACUAUCGCUGGAAUGAGAAUCCUGGCUAGAGUUUUCGGCCCUGGUGAAUCCUUUGUUGCGUCUUGUUGAUCCUUUCCCAAGAAGGCAUUAAUGAAAUAUUGAGUACCAUAAUCAAAUUAAAACUAUCGUGAAUAUUGCCCACCAGGCGGUAAAAUAAUGGGUUAGAACUGUUAUAAUAAGCCGUAAAUCAAACCAUAUUACAUAAUUUACAGGUGUUUGAAAAGAAAAGCAGAAUGGAGGUGGUCGCAUUUAGUUACUACAUUAUUGUACCUGCAUGGCUAGUUUUUGCACGUCCUUGGUUUCUAAAAGAGUUUGCUUUGGAGCUGCUCGCAACUUCAUCCGUCUGUGGAGACAUCUUGUCCACCACAGUGCGUUACUAAGAUAUAAACAUGGCUAUCCAUUUGAAGGACAAUUGCGAUAAGAUUGUUGUUGAUAGAGUUGCAUCAAAGACCACAGCUAUUGUUUGAAGUUCACUGAGCGCUAUAGAACCAUAUCUGCGUUCGUAUUCCAAUGGUAUUUGUGGUGCCUAAAGUUAUGCUGGCGUUGAAUUAUUUGACUUUGAUACCAAUGCACUAUGCCUUCCCCACCUGUCAAAAUUAGGUGUCUGUGAUCACAAACACGCGAUAAAAAAGUUUGAACUCUUUCCCUUACUUAAGGACCCUAUUGCAGUAUUGCACUAACUUCAAAAUUUCAUUUUGGAAAAUAAAUUUUGUGCAAAGGUGGUUCGUAAGUCGAACACCAGUCAAAAGACAGGAAGGAACUGGAUGUUGAGGCUUAUGCAGGAUACUGUGUCUAAAUCCUAACCAUUAUAUUGCUGCUGAAAUUCUGCAUACAUAGUUUUGGUAUACAACAUUUGAUUCAUCUCAUGCUGCUUGCUCUGAAUGAAAAUCACGCAGCCAAGUCACACGUUCUGUUAUGUACAAGUUAUAUUGACUUCGGAUCCAUUUCUCUUUGGUGGGCGUCUCAGCGUAAUCAGCGUUCCCAUAUCCAACCUAGUGAAGCACUGACAAGUUGAAUUACUGAGAGGCUUGUCACUUGAAUGGUGUCUGAAAAGGUUAUUACUAUAAAGAACUACUAUCGUUAGUUCUAAGAUGAGCCCUUAAGACGACUAGAAAUUUUGGAACAGACGUCGGUCUGAACCUCAUUCAGACCACGGUAGAAUUCACAAUUUUCGUACGAAAAUGGCUUACUCUACCGUCAGGAACUGCAUUUUAAAAUUCCAGAUACCGCUUUACUUGCACUUCAUGUGCUGCUGUUUAUUAUGGCAGAGCUUUUUCUGCGCGUCUGAUAUCUGAGGUCAAACACACUUCGCUAUCUUCGUAUCAACUUUAGGUCUGUGCGCAAAAAAUACACAUAAACAAACAAUCGGCUGUGAUAGUGGUAAAGAAAAGUUUUUAAAAAUUUACGAAGCCUAGAAACCUCCCUUAUGUCUCUUAUUACGUGCCUGUAGCAAAAGAUACCCAUGAACAGAAACCUGCAAUUAACGCAAUUCAACCCCAGCUCACCAUGAAUAGAAACCAAUCAGCUAACGGUUGACGUUGAAUCGGUGGUUGAUAAUAGAACCCACAGUAUCUUUUAGUUUAAAAUUUGCUAGGUUUAUGCUUUAAAGUAUUGUGUUGUUGUUAUUCACUUACCUGAAAUAAAUUGCUGGUUUGCAGAGCAACCAGGUUGUGUAAAAAAUCA
rnacentral:lncRNA from 1 species